UCUGUGGACGUUUCUUCAAACUUCGCCGCUCUGGACAGCUUUUCCUCACCACAGUUCAUGAGGUUGAUUCAGUUACCACUAAUUGUAACUGGGAAUAGUACUGAUUGCUUGGGAUAUCCUGUACCUGACCAGGACUUUUUCCCCCUGAACGGAUGCCACCUUAAGAAAGCCCAGGGGACGGCCCAGGACACACUGGAGGGACUAUGUCUCU